rnacentral:ncRNA from 2 species
CUUGAAAAUAAUUAUCCAGGUGCUCGUUUGAGCUUGAUAGGGAAUCCCGUGAAAAUCGGGAACGGGCCCGCCGCUGUGACCGGGGACGAAAACCGCAUGGUGUCACUGUCCUGAUUUUGCUUUACCCAGGGACGGGAAGACGCGGUGAGUAGAAAGAGCCGGAAGUCAGAAGACCUGCCUGGAUAAUCAGGUUACA